GUGGGGAAUAUUGGACAAUGGGGGGAACCCUGAUCCAGCCAUGCCGCGUGUGUGAAGAAGGCCUUUUGGUUGUAAAGCACUUUAAGCGAGGAGGAGGCUACCGAGAUUAAUACUCUUGGAUAGUGGACGUUACUCGCAGAAUAAGCACCGGCUAACUCUGUGCCAGCAGCCGCGGUAAUACAGAGGGUGCAAGCGUUAAUCGGAUUUACUGGGCGUAAAGCGCGCGUAGGUGGCCAAUUAAGUCAAAUGUGAAAUCCCCGAGCUUAACUUGGGAAUUGCAUUCGAUACUGGUUGGCUAGAGUAUGGGAGAGGAUGGUAAAAUUCCAGGUGUAGCAGUGAAAUGCGUAGAGAUCUGGAGGAAUACCGAUGGCGAAGGCAGCCAUCUGGCCUAAUACUGACACUGAGGUGCGAAAGCAUGGGGAGCAAACAGGAUUAGAAACCCCAGUAGUCC
rnacentral:rRNA from 1 species